CUGACCAAGAAAGGUAAAAGAAUAGCAAAGAAACAGCACUAACAAAGUUUAGACCCAUAAAUUUUGAAGGUCUAACUACCAUAUUAUUACCCACAAGGGUAAAGGAACAGUACCACUGCUGGAUAAUUGGAAAGUCCCUGUGUGUCAACCUCUGUGCUUCGUGGCAAGGUAGACUAGCAAACAUGCCCAACCUUUACUCACAUUCGAGAAAACACUCCCAAUAAGAUUGCUUGCUCCAAAAAUCGAAGAGGCACCGUCCUCCGAAUCUCGAGAGCCAGACUCCCAACAUGACUACUUUCUUAAAAAUCGAAGAGAGGGUAAAGGAACAGUACCAUUGCUGGAUAAUUGGAAAGUCCCUGUGUGUCAACCUCUGUGCUUCGUGGCAAGGUAGAUUAGCAAACAUGCCCAACCUUUACUCACAUUCGAGAAAACACUCCCAACAAGAUUGCUUGCUCCAAAAUCGAAGAGGCACCGCCCUCCGAAUCUCGAGAGCCAGACUUCCAACAUGAUUACUUUCUCAAAAAUCGAAGAGACACUGCUCCCCGAAUCUCGAGAGCCAGACCCCCAGCAUGAUUGCUUUCUCAAAAAUCGAUGAGGCAUCGUUCUCCGAAUCAAUCGAAGAGGCGCUCGCUUUCUCAA
rnacentral:lncRNA from 1 species